rnacentral:rRNA from 1 species
AUUGAACGCUGGCGGCAUGCUUUACACAUGCAAGUCGAACGGGCUCAGGUGCUUGCACCUAAGUUAGUGGCGAACGGGUGAGUAAUGCAUCGGAACGUACCGUGUAGUGGGGGAUAACCCGGCGAAAGUCGGAUUAAUACCGCAUACGAUCUAAGGAUGAAAGCAGGGGAUCGCAAGACCUUGCGCUAUACGAGCGGCCGAUGUCGGAUUAGCUAGUUGGUAGGGUAAAGGCCUACCAAGGCAACGAUCCGUAGCGGGUCUGGGAGGAUGAUCCGCCACACUGGGACUGAGACACGGCCCAGACUCCUACGGGAGGCAGCAGUGGGGAAUUUUGGACAAUGGGCGAAAGCCUGAUCCAGCCAUGCCGCGUGAGUGAAGAAGGCCUUCGGGUUGUAAAGCUCUUUUGUCCGGGAGCAAAUCCUGUUCACUAAUACUGAGCGGGGCUGAGAGUACCGGAAGAAUAAGCACCGGCUAACUACGUGCCAGUCGCCGCCGUAAUAC